GCCAAUUCUGGUUCUAUGAAUAAGUGAAACGAAAAGCUUUUCACUUGUUCAUUUAUAAAUUUGAUUCUCGUUCUGUGAAAAAAUGAAAACAAACAUCAAAAAUAUUCAUAUGAAUAUUUUUCUUUCACUAAAUAAUUCGAUUGUGAAUGUUCGAAAUCGAAACUUUUAAACAUUUUAAAUGGAUAAUUUUUUGAAAAAAAAUAAAGGAAAGAGCGUCACGCAAGCUCAAAAAGAUUUUUUAAUAAGUUUUUUGGAACAAAAUGUGGAAAUUGCACACGACAAGUAAGAAAACUAUUUUAAAAAAUGAUAUCGCGUUUUAAUGAUUUUCGUAGAUUUGUUUCGGUAGAUGGAGGUCGUCAAAGGGACAAUACCUGGAAAUCAUUGGCAAAUGAUCUCAAUGCUUUGGGAGGAGCUAACACAACCUAUGAACAGUGGAGGAAGACUUGGGGCGACUUAAAAAGAAACAGCAAGAAAAAUAUGCAGAUAACAAAGAAUCCCAAAACCGCAGUGGGAUCAACGGAAUCACCAAAAUCAAAGAGCUCAGUGACUUGGAAUAAUUACAGACAAAAAUGUUGAAGGGGAUGAACCUGUUUUAGAAAUAGUCAUUGAAACAGAGGACUUCGUAAGAACAUUACAUUGUUCAGUUCAAAAACUUUUAAAAUGUUAAUAUAUGAAUUUUGUUUUCAAAUAAUAAGUAAGGUCUACAUUGCAAAAUUUACUUGAUAAGAACAAAAUGAAAAUGUAGGACCAUCGACUUCUACCGGCCUCCAUCAAGAAGAGCAGGCAACUGCAGGGGUUUCGGAAACGGUAACUUCAAGGCCAUCAGCAACUGCGGUAACAAACAGGCAAAAGCGAAAGCGAGAAUCGUUACCUUUAUCAAAUGAUAAACUCAUAGAACUUGAAGAAAAAAAUUUAGAGAUAAAAGAAAAACGGUUGAAACUAGAGGAAAGGAAUGUUAUAGCCUUAGAAAACCUCCUAAUUUGUUAAAUGCAAUAAAAGAUAAAUUUUUUGUUUGAA